rnacentral:tRNA from 1 species
GGGUCGUUAGCUCAGUGGUAGAGUAAUCGUAUCAUAAACGAUUGGUCGGUGGUUCGAACCCACUACGACCCACCA